rnacentral:rRNA from 1 species
AUUGAACGCUGGCGGCAGGCCUAACACAUGCAAGUCGAGCGGAUGAAGGGAGCUUGCUCCUGGAUUCAGCGGCGGACGGGUGAGUAAUGCCUAGGAAUCUGCCUGGUCGUGGGGGCUAACGUCCGGACACGGGCGCUAAUCCCGCAUACGUCCUGAUGGUGAAAGUGGUGGAUCUUCGGACCUCGCGCUAUCAGAUGAGCCUAGGUCGGAUUAGCUAGUUGGUGGGGUAAAGGCCUACCAAGGCGACGAUCCGUAACUGGUCUGAGAGGAUGAUCAGUCACACUGGAACUGAGACACGGUCCAGACUCCUACGGGAGGCAGCAGUGGGGAAUAUUGGACAAUGGGCGAAAGCCUGAUCCAGCCAUGCCGCGUGUGUGAAGAAGGUCUUCGGAUUGUAAAGCACUUUAAGUUGGGAGGAAGGGCAGUAAGUUAAUACCUUGCUGUUUUGACGUUACCAACAGAAUAAGCACCGGCUAACUUCGUG